AAAAAAUUACCACUAGGGAAAGCAAUCCCGCGGGAUCACAGAAACCAACAAAAAUUUUUGGUUCUCUUAAUACUAUGCGUACCUGCAAGAGGAAAAUAUUUUCUAGCUGAAAAAGUCCAGUUCUACUUAGACGCUUUCCAUACCUUACAAGGUAGCAACAUUUUAGAAACCUUCAAGAAAAAUUUUAAAAAAUAAUAAAAAAAAAAAUUGAAAAAAAAAUUGAAAGAUGUCGUUAUUCAUAUGACACCUUAAUUCCGUACAAAAGUUGCUUGACGGUGGAAUUGUAAGAAG